GUGUUAUCUUCCGCAGCACAUAUCCUAAAAUUGGAAUGAUACAGAGAUUAGCACGGCUCCUACGCAAGGAUGACACGCAAGUUCGUGAAGCAUUCCAUAUUUUU
ensembl:snRNA U6 U6 spliceosomal RNA